UACAGAGGUCUCGAGCGUUGUUCGGAUUCAUUGGGCGUAAAGGGCGCGUAGGCGGCGGGGUAAGUCUGGUGUGAAAUCUCGGAGCUCAACUCCGAAAUUGCACUGGAUACUGCUCUGCUAGAGGGCUGGAGAGGAGAUCGGAAUUCACGGUGUAGCAGUGAAAUGCGUAGAUAUCGUGAGGAAGACCAGUGGCGAAGGCGGAUCUCUGGACAGCUCCUGACGCUGAGGCGCGAAAGCGUGGGGAGCAAACGGG
rnacentral:rRNA from 1 species